GGGGGUGCAGGCGGGUUGUGUGUGGCCUUGCAGAGUAGCCGGUCCGGAGAAAGCGUCGCGAACUAGCGCUUUAUUGAGCGUUUCGCUAGUCGAGUACGCAGGAGGAAGAGAACAGCUUAUCUGCGGCUCAGUUUCCCAACCUGUAAUAUAGAGUAGUAAUAAUAGCCCCCACCCAGUGGGGUUCUGCUAAGAAGUGAGGUCCCCAGCGGAGUGCAGGGUCUGACAGACGACUGUUCCCAAAAAGCGCCGCUGCGAUUCCAAGGAGGGCAGCGCCUCCACCCGCCCCCGGGGAGGGGCGCAGCGGCUGUCCCGGAAGACCCACCGAUGUCCCCUCAGCGUCUUUCAUCCAUCGCCAUUCAGUCUGUGUGAAUUAAUAACAAAGACUAUUAUGGGCGCUGGUAUUAAGGGAGACGGACUCGAGUUGGGCCGGAAUCUUGGCUCUCUCGUCAGCGUGGGUAAUACCCGUGCUGAAUCUCAGAGUGCUCGUCUGAAAAGUGGAGCCAGCAAUACCCGCUUCAGCAAUCGGAGGGGCAGGAUUAGCUGUGACAAACCAAAACCUAACCUUGGAUAAGGGUUGUCCAGCUCUCCGCCACCCCACUUCCGAGUUACUCAGACUUCUUUCCCAUUUCAGAACAUCGCUUUGACGCCAGUCCUGGGAAAUAUGAAAAUAUUUAGUUAAUGGAUGAAGAAAAGUCCUGGGUCUUUAUAUAGUGCCUUUCUCUUUAGGUUUUUUCAUUUCUCCAUUUGCGUCUUCUGGAAAAACUACAGAAUGUUCUGAUAAUUUUUUUUAUCUUGAAAUGGGAUCUUUUUGGGUGUUUUUAAUAAGGCUGAUGUCAUUUGUUGGCAUAAAAAUUAUUCAGAUACAACAUGAUGUUUUUAAGAUUUUUUUUAAUUUAUUUUUUGAGAGGUAGCUUUACAGACAGAGAGGGCAAGAGAGGUCUUCCAUCCACUGGUUCACUCCCCAAAUGGCUGCAAUGGUGGGAGCUGGGCCGAUCAGAAACCAGGAGCCAGGAGCUUCUUCUGGGUCUUCCACACGGGUGCAGGGACCCAUCUUCUAUUGCUUUCCCAGGCCAUAGCAAAGAGCUGGACUGGAAGAGGAGCAGCAGGGACAAGAACCAGAGCCCAUAUGUGAUGUUGGCACCACAGGCAGAGGCUUAGCCUACUAUGCCACAGCACCAGCCCCACAAUGUAGUGUCUUUAGAAUGACUAUACUUUAUAUUCUGUGUAUUUAGUCAAAUAUUUUUCUCAUAACUCCCAAUGUGUACUUGAUCUCCCUGUGUGUUCAGCAACUAAUGACAGCACUGCUGUUUUCCAAGCCCUUUCUUGCAAACAGUAUUCAGAUCUAACAGAACACGUCCAGGAACCAUGUAGGGAAGGCCAGUGUGGGCCGCCCUGCUGUGCUGUGAUCUUUGUGGGUUUGCUCAACCCAGUGACCUGAACAAAUUCCACUCCCGGCAGUUCAGGUCUUGGAUUGCAGCAAGUGACUUGCAACAUCACUGGGCCAGGCAGAGGACGGAUCUUUUGCAGCCAUUUUAGACUGUCUUGUGUUGCGGAUGCUGUCCCUGGACCAGCGAGGUAAUGGGGGGGUGGAAUGGACCACGUGUGCUGCUUCUAGUCCUGGACUCUGAUCCGUGUCCUUCCUGACCUGAGGCUUGGUGACUGCGCUGAAUCCCUUGUCCCCAUGUUGAGAGCAUGACAGGGCCAUUCUUCUGUCAGCAAAUAUGCAUGACGAGUCCUCUUGUAAGUAGAACCUGUGUCUCUAAAGGAUCUUCUGUUCCUCCAAAUCUACAGGCUUUCUUCACAUGGUAUUCCUGUUUCACUGUCCUGGGGACCAAAUCAGGCCUGUGUUUCUAACUUCAACCACAGCUAGAAAAUUGGUUCAAACCAGCUUGGAAUAUGUGGUAGUUCUUUUCAUUUACACUUCUAAAUAGUCAACAAAGUCAGUUUUCCUGAUGAAUAUUGGUUUAGAAGAAACAUCACCAAAAGCCUCAGAGGAAAUGUUGUGGGUACAUCUGGGCCUCCAGGUAGCAGAAAUGACACCAGCCAAUGUAGCACUGGCAGAGGUUUCCAGGGGAUGUGGCUUGUCUGAUGAGCAGGUCAGUUUGUGUUGGGACAUCCAGAGUGUCAUCAUGAGAAAAGUCCUAACUUUCAUUUCUCUUAUUUCAUGUUUUCUUCGGUUGCUUCAGACAGGCUGCCAACUCAUCACAUUUUUGAUGUCACCAAUGACUUGGAGCCAUCUUCGAUCCCUCCUCAUUCCUCAUGCCCCAUCUUCUAUCUUUCUUUUAGAAUUAAGGUGGUUUUUUUUGGAAGAUUUAUUUAUUUAUUUGAAAGUCAGAGUUAUACAGAAGGAGGAGGAGAGGCAGAGGCAGAGAGAGAGAGAGAGAGAGAGAGAGGUCCUCCAUCCACUGGUUCACUCCCCAAUUGGCCACAAUAGCUGGAGCUGUGCCGAUCUGAAGCCGGGAGCCAGGAGCUUCUUCCAGGUCUCCCACGUGGGUGCAGGGGCCCAAGGACUUGGGCUAUCUUCUACUGCUUUCCCAGGCCAUAGCAGAGAGUUGAUCAGAAGUGGAGCAGCAGGGACUUGAACCGGCACCAAUAUGGGAUGCCAUCACUGCAGGUGGCGGCCUAACCCGCUAUGCCACAGUGCCAGCCCCCUCUAUCUUUUUUAUUUUACCUCCUCAGGAUCUCUUGUAUCCAUCCUAUCCCUAUUCAACCCCCUCUAAUCUUGAAAUGGGGACUGUCAUCAACAAAAUCACUCCCUCUGUUGAAAGGGAAACAGUGUAGAAUUAUGGAGAGCACUCAGAGUUGGCCAUCUAAGAUCUAGACUCACUCCUAUCUGUUGUCAACUGGAGGUGUGACUGGUGAUAGCCAUUUUCUGUGUGGACCUCUCUGCAAUGCUCCCCUGUGUCAUGUGUGGCUGUUAUCUCCUGCCCACUCCACCCCCAACAUCCAUUCUGUUGCCAUGGCUAUGAUCUCAUGUACACAUACACACUAGCCAUUUGAUUGAUCUGAUCCAGGCUGAACCAAUUAAGUCUUCUCUCCAGGAAUUUUGACUCUGCAAACUAGAAGAGGUCAAUAGCUCUGCUGGCUGCUGAACCUCCAGGAUGGGACCCAUGUGUGACACCCAGGUAUUGUCUACCACCUUGUUUUGCACUAGGCGGACUAAGAAGGCCAGUCUCAGCUGCAGUGACAGGAGCAGAUUGGAACAUGUAGAGAGAUAGAGGUAGGUCUCUACCAUGCUGCAUCCCUGGACCUAUUAUGUUCCUGAGUCCUACCUGCAUCCCUAUUCUUGGGUUCUGGUAGUUAGUUCCCUUUUAGGCUUCAGACAGUUGGAGUCGGAUUUCUAUUACUUGUAAGCAAGAGUUCUAGCAAAUCCAGAGUUGGACCAGUGCUCUCUCAGUGCCAUUUCAGAGCUAAUAUUUCUUUUUUAUUAUUUUUUUUUUGACAGGCAGAGUGGACAGUGAGAGAGAGAGAGACAGAGAGAAAGGUCUUCCUUUGCCGUUGGUUCACCCUCCAAUGGUCGUCGCGGCCAGCGCGCUGCAGCCAGCGCACCGCGCUGAUCCUAUGGCAGGAGCCAGGUACUCCCAUGGGGUGCAGGGCCCUGGCCACAGCAGAGGGCUGGCCUGGAAGAGGGGCAACCGGGACAGAAUCCGGCGCCCCGACCGGGACUAGAACCCGGUGUGCCGGCGCUGCAAGGCGGAGGAUUAGCCUAGUGAGCCACGGCGCUGGCCCAGAGCUAAUAUUUCAAGAGUCCAUAAUAAUGGCUUCCUCCUUCCCACUCAGGGUUACCUCUAUGCCACAUGUCACUUUUAUACAAGCUAGAAAAAGGUGCCCCUGCAUCAAGACAAUUUGCUGCUACAUCUGAGGGAACUGUUGCAAAAUACUUAUGCUUUGUGAACAGAACACUCUACUAGAAGAAAAUUAAAUCUACCACAUCUAGGAUGUGAAUUAGAUUCCCUUAGGGGCAUGCAUUGUACAACCAGCUGACCUGAAGAGAGUAGCCCUGUCAAUUGUCCUUCAGGUUACCCUUGAACAUGCAAAUUGUGUGUCCCUUUUCAAGAUUCCGAAAAUACAACAUAUGCAACUUCUGGGAUAUCUGAAACCAGAGCCCCAUGGCCAUAAACAGACUGUCCUAUAGGAUGGCACGGAUUGGCCAGUUUCCCAUACCAUAUCACCACAGCCUCACCAGCCAAGUCUGAAGGACUCCCCCAAAGAAGCCAUCUCCACCCCAAGAACUACCAGGGAUCUCUAGUGAAGAGCCACAGGAGCAGCCACAACCAGACAGUCUAAGGUGUCACAUGCUAGAGGUAGAGUCAAUCACCUUUAGCUACAUGAGUGGCCACUCUGAACCUCCACUUCCUCCUCAUUUAUCCAAGGAAUUGCUUCCCAAAUAUGUUCCUCAGAAUGCCAGUCAUGUGGGAUACCCCAUAAACAAUGACAGGGGGACCUGAGUGUGAAAAAUCACAUGCUCUGGUCUCUCCUCUUGCAGAGGCUCCAAAAAAAAAAAAAAAAAAAAACCUGUAAUAAGUUGUAAGACAAAGAAAUCUUUCUUCCUCUUGUUAGUUGAGUUGUGUCCUCCAAAAUAGAUAUGUUCAAGUCCCAAUCCCCAGGACCUGUAAAUGUGACCUUAUUUGGAAAUAAGAGGUUUUGCAGAUGUGAUAAAAUUAAAAUGAGGUCGUACCAAGGCAGGCUUUUGGCCUAGCAUUUAAGGCACUGGUGGGGCACCCACAUCCUAUGUUGGAGUACCUGGAUUCCAUUCUUGGCUCCAGCCAGUGCUGUGCAAUAGCAAGUUAAGCUGCUGCCUGCUGUGCUGGCAUCCCUUAUGGGCACCAGUUUGAGUCCCAGCUGCUCCACUUCCUAUCCAGCUCCCUGCUAAUGCACCUGGGAAAGCAGUGGAAGAUGGCCCAAGUCCUUGAGCCCUAUACCCACUUGGGAGACCCAGAGGAAGCCUCUGGUCCUGGCUUCGGAUCAGCCCAGCUCCAGCUGUUGCAGCCAUUGGGGAAUGAACCAGAGAUAGAAGACUUCCCUCCCUAUCUCUCCUCUCUCUGUGUCACUCUGCCUUUCAAAAUAAAGAAAAUAAAUCUUUUUAAAAAAAUUAAAAGGUUAUGUCAUACUGGAUGUUACAGUUUGAUAUUUGUCCCCUUGACCUCAGGGCUUUUGUCCUAACGUUAACUAAGAAGGUAGAAACAUAAUCCAAUUUUUUAUUUUUGGAGGUGGAGCUUUGGGAGGGGAUUGGCUUGAAUUGGGUUAUUAGGGUGGAACCUCCAUGAUUAAAUCCUGGUAGCUUUAUAAAGACAAAAACAGACAUAUGCCUCUUCUUGUCAUGUGGUAUUCUGUGUUGCCUUGGGACCCUGACAGCAAGAAGCCAUCAGCAGAGACUGAAGCAGUGGGGCUGCCUAAUCUCGAACUGUGAACCUCCAAAACAAUGAGCCAAAACAAACCUUUUUCCUUUCUAAAGUUUGGCCACCUCAGGUAUUUUGUUAGUGACAAAAAGCUGGCUGACACACCGGAGUAGGGCUGACUCUAAAUUCGAUGAUCAGUGUCCUUCUGAGAAGAGAGAUGGGCUUACAGGGAGAAGUCCUCGUGAAGAAGGGGGCAGAGAUUGGAGCGGUGCAUAUGCCAGCCAAGGAACUCGGUGCAUUGCCAGCAACCACCAGAAGCUAUGAGAGAGUGUACAUGGAAAGAGUCUCGUGAAGCAACACCUGCCCUUCUUUGGGUGAAAGAUGAAUACUGACUUCAGAAUGGCUAAAAUGUUGAAAACUUUCUGCUGUGGCCUGGGAAAGCAAUAGAAGAUGGCCCAAGUCCUUGGGCACCCGCAUCUGCUUGGGAGACCCAGAAGAAGCCUCUGGCUCCUGGCUUCGGAUCUACGAAGCUCUGGCCGUUGCAGCCAAUUGCGGAGUGAGCCAGCGGAUGGAAGACCUCCCUCUCUCCCUCUCUCUCUCUGCCUCUCUUUCUCUCUGUGUAGCUCUGACUUUCAAAUAAAUAAAUAAAUCUUAAAAAAAAAAAGAUGCGAAUGAUUUUAAUGAGAGUCCUGUAUGUGUACAAAACUGAUUCAUCAAAUAACUCAGGCAAGAAAACACCUUCAGUUUUUAUUCACAGGUAACCAGGAGUCUGGCUUCCAGCCAUAUAGAGUAGCAAGGAUGAUAUUUACUCUCCUGACUAAAUCAACUAGAAAGCUAGACAAAAUGUGUGACACAAUUGCUUUCAGAUAGGAGGCCACAGACAGCAUAGGAUUUUCCUGGGGAAAGGCAAACAGAGGGGAGAGCCCUGUGGUCACCAGCUUUGGCACAUGGAAGGCCACAGAGCAGAGAUGGGCAAGACCAGGCAGAGCAUGAUGUUCUUGCUGAGUUUAAAGAGUCGAGAGCAGA